rnacentral:rRNA from 1 species
UACGAGGGGUCCUAGCGUUGUUCGGAAUUACUGGGCGUAAAGCGCAUGUAGGUGGCUUGGCAAGUCAGAUGUGAAAGCCUCGGGCUCAACCCGAGAAGUGCAUCUGAUACUGCUUAGCUUGAGUAUGGGAGAGGGUAGUAGAAUUCCUGGUGUAGUGGUGAAAUACGUAGAUAUUGGGAGGAACACCGGUGGCGAAGGCGGCUACCUGGACCGGUUCUGACGCUGAUGCGCGAAAGCGUGGGUAGCAAACAGG